CUACUCCGGGGGCAACGGCCCAAGCUUAAGACGUUUACCAUGGAACCACCAAUGAGCGGGAACCACACAGGUCAAAGUUAACAUUGUGUGAUGGGAAACUUUCAGAUGUGUCCCACGAAAUCUGCCUAGCAACUCGACUUGAAUAAUGCGAAACGCGACUCCAGCUCCUAGUCUGUUGCCUGCUCGGCUUCACCUUAGCUAACAGGCUAACAGGCUAACAGGCUAACACGACCUGAGUCGUGAGAGGUUUCACUCACAUAUCGGAUGAAUAAUACGGUUUGAUCUUCGGUUUGUUCUCCUGACAGAUAAUCUAAAGACGUCUGCGCUCCCGUUUCUGUGGAUCAGGGAAGACGAGCGGAGAGACAGAUGAGAGAGUUCUGAAGUCGCCUCUUGAGAUUGGGUGGCAGAGAGUGACUCAGAUCAGGAGGGUGGCAAGUCGAUUUCAAGGAGAGGUCGCUUACUUUGCACCAUGCGGGAAGAUACUGUGUCGUUAUCCUGAUGUGACGAAGUACUUAGUGCAGAAUGGAAUAAUGGAAAUCGCACGGGAUAACUUCAGCUUUAGUCCAAAAGUUAAAGUUGGUGCCGUCUAUGAAGCCAGAGAAGGACCAGAGGUAAA